CAGCCUGGGCAACAAGAGCGAAACUCCGUCUCAGGAAAAAAAAAAAAAAGCAGAACUCCUUACUGGCCUCAAAACAUACUGUGACAUUUCCGUAACCUACAGGUCUAGAAAUCCUGUGCCAAAUAUGGUUAACUUGUUUGCUGAGAAGGAUGUGGAAGAACUGGAACCCUCAUACACAGCUGAUGGGAAAACAGUCUGGAACUUUCUUAAAACAUUCUGGUAAAUGGGGGCCCGGCAAGCUAGAAAGUGUGGCUAUAAUCCCUUGCUUUUUUCCUUUUUUAAACUUUUUCUCUCUCAGUCCUGACCUAAAGAUGACCCUAGUCAGGCUGGACACGGUGGCUCACGCCUGUCAUCCCAGCACUUUGGGAGGCCAAGACGGGUGGAUCACCUGAAGUCAGGAGUUCAAGACCAGCCUGACCAACAUGGAGAAACCCUGUCUCUACUAAAAACACAAAAUUAGCUGGGCGUGGUGGUGCAUGCCUAUAAUUCCAGCUACUCGGGAGGCUGAGGCAGGAGAAUCGCUUGAACCUGGGAGGUGGAGGUUGCAGUGAGCCGAGAUCGCGCCAUUGCACUCCAGCCUGGACAGCAAGAGCAAAACUCCGUCUCAAAAAACAAAAACAAAAACAAACAAAAAAAUUCCCCUGAGAGAAAACCUGUCUUUCCAGCCAGAGGAGCAGGAAAAAAUGACCCUAUGGUCUGAAGAAUGUGGAAAUAAUCCAUCUUUUUUUCUCUCUCUGCUUUCUGCCUGAGGGGCGUUCCUUUUGGCAAAAUGAGCAGGCAGUGUAGGCAGGUAAUCAUCAGAGAGAAAGCCCAUCUUUCUAAGCCAGAGGAUGAGGAAAAGGGGCCCCCUGGGUGCCAGGGAGUCUGGGGGGAAAUCCUGAAGAGCAAAGACCUGAAAAGAGGAUUCUCUAAUUCUGUACAUGAGCUGAAUUCCGUGCUCAGCCCAGAGCUGCACAUACAAGAGACAGAGCCCAGGCAACACAGCCACACUCUGAACUGACACUCGGACCACCACCACCAAACAGAAGGCAACGCAGGACCUGCAGACUAAGGCUAACGAGGCUGAUUGCCUGACAAAACAGAAAAAAAAGAAACAUUCUUCAGGGAAUUUUAGCAGAACACAGAGUCUCCCAACAUAAAACAGACAGUCCUCACUGCACAGCAGUUCAGAACUGUAAAAAUGACCUUCCAACCUGAAACUGCCAUGUGCUGUUCAUAAUCAUUAAUGGGUAAAAUUGUGAUUUUUUUCCUGUCUUUUGAAAAUUGUCAAAACAUUGAUAAUCUUGUACUGUUAGAAAUGUAUAAGGAAACAAUAAAGUAAAUAUUUUUGUA
rnacentral:lncRNA from 10 species